rnacentral:rRNA from 1 species
GCCAACGUCCAUACCACGUUGAAUACACCGGUUCUCGUCCGAUCACCGAAGUUAAGCAACGUCGGGCGCGGUCAGUACUUGGAUGGGUGACCGCCUGGGAACACCGCGUGAUGUUGGCUGUU